GGGCUGGGCUCUUGACUGCCGCUAUCGCUCUCCAGGCGACCACCGCCGCGUCAUCGACACUCGACAGUGCCGCGUAUCGAGGUCGAUACUCUCUCAGUGAAUAAGCGCCAAGGGGACGAAGAGGGAGACUGAAACUAGUGAGCUCACGGGGACAAGGUCCGUAUGCCGCUCUCCGGGUCUUGUGAGGCAGUCGAUGUUAUCGGCAACCGCACGGCCAAAAACGAGGAGUUCUAGGAGGCUGUUGGCUCCGAGACGGUUGGCGCCAUGAACGGAGGCGCAGCCAACCUCGCCAGCCGCCCACAGUCCUUCCAUCACUUUGUCUUCCUCGUUAUCUCUUGUGAUCACCUUCGCACCGAAAACCCAUCGACCAAGGCGGAAGGUGAUGCAGCUGCAGGUAGACGUGAUCCUUCUUCUCGCCAACGCCCCUGAAAAGAAAGAUCGACACGCGAGCACCCGUUCCGAGUAAGGCGAGUCACUUGAGAGUGUCGGCCCGCUGGACGCCCGCUGGACGCCCGCUGGACGCCCGCUGGACGCCCGCUGGACGACGUGAUCCUUACCUUCCUUCGAAUAUUUCGAGCGUUAUCGCACGAGAAACAACGUCGCGUGAAGCGAGAUCUUUUGCAUUCGGCGCGUAUCUCUCCAUGAAAAAUUCACCGGCUGAAUUAACUAGUCGGCCACCUUCGCCACGGCUCCCCUCCGUCACAAGAACGCCGCUUCCAUAUAUACCUGCAACCGUCGGAGAAAAAGGAUUCUCAAGGGCAACUCGGAGUUUCUAGUCCAUCGACGCGAGCAUCGACCAACGAAUCUCAA